AGUCUAAUUCGAUUGAAAGAAGUUUCGCCACAAAUUAAGCUCCUUCAAAACAGUCGAAAUAAAUUCAGGUCCACACUAGCACCUCAGCUCUCUACUGCACACAGUUAGAAGAACAAAGCUCGAGAGACUGUUCACCCUGAGCACCACAUGAUGUUCAAACUCUGUCUGAAAGACUGCUAUACUUUCC